AGAGUUUGAUCAUGGCUCAGAUUGAACGCUGGCGGCAUGCCUUACACAUGCAAGUCGAACGGUAACAGGUCUUCGGAUGCUGACGAGUGGCGAACGGGUGAGUAAUACAUCGGAACGUGCCCAGUAAUGGGGGAUAGCUCGGCGAAAGCCGGAUUAAUACCGCAUACGCCCUGAGGGGGAAAGUGGGGGACCGCAAGGCCUCACGUUAUUGGAGCGGCCGAUGGCUGAUUAGCUAGUUGGUAGGGUAAAGGCCUACCAAGGCGACGAUCAGUAGCUGGUCUGAGAGGACGAUCAGCCACACUGGGACUGAGACACGGCUCAGACUCCUACGGGAGGCAGCAGUGGGGAAUUUUGGACAAUGGGGGAAACCCUGAUCCAGCAAUGCCGCGUGUGCGAAGAAGGCCUUCGGGUUGUAAAGCACUUUUGUCAGGGAAGAAAUCCUUUGGACUAAUACCCUAGGGGGACGACGGUACCUGAAGAAUAAGCACCGGCUAACUACGUGCCAGCAGCCGCGGUAAUACGUAGGGUGCAAGCGUUAAUCGGAAUUACUGGGCGUAAAGCGUGCGCAGGCGGUUGUGUAAGACAGGUGUGAAAUCCCCGGGCUUAACCUGGGAAUUGCAUUUGUGACUGCACGACUAGAGUGUGUCAGAGGGGGGUGGAAUUCCACGUGUAGCAGUGAAAUGCGUAGAUAUGUGGAGGAACACCAAUGGCGAAGGCAGCCCCCUGGGAUAACACUGACGCUCAUGCACGAAAGCGUGGGGAGCAAACAGGAUUAGAUACCCUGGUAGUCC
rnacentral:rRNA from 1 species